UACGUAGGGUGCGAGCGUUGUCCGGAAUUAUUGGGCGUAAAGAGCUCGUAGGCGGUCUGUCGCGUCGAAUGUGAAAACCCGGGGCUCAACUCCGGGCUUGCAUUCGAUACGGGCAGACUAGAGUUCGGUAGGGGAGACUGGAAUUCCUGGUGUAGCGGUGAAAUGCGCAGAUAUCAGGAGGAACACCGAUGGCGAAGGCAGGUCUCUGGGCAUUAACUGACGCUGAGGAGCGAAAGCAUGGGGAGCGAACAGG
rnacentral:rRNA from 1 species